UUAGGAUUUUCCACUUCUUGGGCCCAAGUGCCUGCUGCUUGUGGUGAAUUUGAUCUUGUUGUGUUGCUACAGUGUUAAUUGAUGCUUCGAUUGAACUGCAAGAUUAACCCCUAGUGCUACCACCAUAGAUUCAAUGAAGUAGGGCAGACUUAUUGCAAGUAUCCAAUGAGCAAGAAGGCAGUUGGUUUUUGUUUUGAGAAUUUUUAUGUUGUGCUCCUGCAAUUUGAGACGUAGGCUCUAGUGAGAAAAUGCAGCCUACAGGUCUGUUUUGGCGGAUUUUGAUUGCCUGACGCUUUGGUUGCCUCUAUCCUCAUGAUGCAUCGACGCACGUUGCCCUGUCUCCACUUCCUACAACUAAUUGUAUAUAUGAAUUAAUUUGAGAAGUGCAGGUUGAUGCAGCGCUAUGAGGCUUGGUCGCUUGGAUGCGGUCCUGGAGGCAUAAAACGCACAUGAUGUUUACAAGCAUGGUGGCAGUAAGAGAAGCGCCAUGAUGUACCAUGGCUUGACGAGAUGCAUAUGUCGGCAUUUUUUUGUGUAUUGCUGGAACAUGGUUUGCAUCACUACAUUCUAAGUGUAUAAUGUGAAGGUGGAUAGUUCAGCAUAAUUACUAACGGAAUUUGAUACCUUUCAACGAAACGAUUCAAAAGAUAUAUGGAUGAUUAUAUGGGUGCGUGGCAAGUAUAAUGCAAUGAUGAUGAUGUUCCAGUUCGUGAUGAUGAUGAUGAUGGAUGCUUUUGGUUUUGUUAAGUUGUAGGGACGUUGUUGAUGUUACUAGAUGAUGUUCCUCAGUUACGUUUUAGUUUAGUUGUAGGGAUGUUGAUGGAUUCUUUCAGUUAAAGUUUCGCUUCGCUGUGAAGAAAAUAUUUAGAUUAUGCAGCAUAUUUGGAUGAUGUUCCUCAUGUAAUAUCCACUAUUGUAAUCCAAAAGUUUUUAUCCAAUAUAUGAUUUCUUCC